GGGCGGGACAAAGCCGCCAGUCAUCACCUCCCCCCCAGCGCCGAGGGAGGCCGCGGGACCGGGAUCUCAGAACACUUUACAAACAUCGGUGAACACCAAACACCAAAAAACGAGCCACUGUACUCACCAGCCAAGACCUCCAGCUUGUUAGCAGAGUCCUCUGCCCUUCAAAUGAUCUUGCAGUAGGUGUGAUAUAAUCACCACUGCAGACAACAUCUGGGUACUUCAUAGCUUUAGACAGCAGCCCCAACAGUCCUCAGAGCAGAGGUCAGAUGCAGCCUUUGGCCAAGUAAGAGGAGGAUGGUGACAUCUGUUGACAAGCAGUGCUAGAAACUAUGGCAUCAGCAAGAUGGUGACCCCAAAGGGCUUACUAUAGAGUAUAGACCUUCAUCAUGAGAGAUCACUGACUCCACAGAGA